AGUAUAAAUAGUUAACUUUGAACUGCGAAUGGCUCAUUAUAUCAGUUAUAGUUUAUUUGAUGAAGAAUACUAAUUGGAUAACCGUAGUAAUUCUAGAGCUAAUACAUGUAUAAAGUCUUGUAGACUGCAUUUAUUAGAAUGAAAACCAUAGGUUUCGGCCUAUUCGUGAGUAAUAAUAACUAAUCAUAUCGUAUGCUUACGUAACGAUGUGUCUUUCAAGUUUCUGCCCUAUCAGCUUUCGAUGGUAGUGUAUUGGACUACCAUG
rnacentral:rRNA from 1 species